AAAUUUUUAGGGCUAUGAUAUAUGUGCAGUUUCUUGGGUGGUAAGAAACUGAGGCUGAAGAAGAAGUUGACUGUUCCAGCUGUGUCCAGGCCAGAUGCGUCGGUGCGCGCCGUCGCAGCUGAUCCAGAUAGACCAAUCUGGUUCCCGGGAAGCACUCCUCCAGAGUGGCUAGACGGUAGCCUCCCUGGUGACUUCGGAUUUGAUCCUCUUGGUCUUUGUGA
rnacentral:sRNA from 1 species